AGGGCUGUGGAGGCCACGGGGCUGGGUUAUUCAUGGGAGCUUGGGGGUUAUACAUGGUCACUGGGGGGGGCCAUGGGGCUGGGGUUAUUCAUGGGAGCUGGGGGGUAACACAUGUUUGUGGGGGCCAUGGGACUGGGGGUUGGCGGGUGGAGCAGGGGUUUUGUACAACGCGUUGCCCUGCUCGAUGUUUACAGUCCCCGACAGGACAUGUAGGACAUCAGUGAGAGUUCUGUUCAUCUUCCAGAACUUGUCUU